UACGUAGGGCGCAAGCGUUGUCCGGAAUUAUUGGGCGUAAAGCGCGUGUAGGCGGCUGGGCAAGUCGGAUGUGAAAGCCCUGGGCUCAACCCAGGAAGUGCAUUCGAAACUGCGGAGCUGGAGUCCUGGAGAGGAAGGCGGAAUUCUCGGUGUAGAGGUGAAAUUCGUAGAUAUCGAGAGGAACACCGGUGGCGAAGGCGGCCUUCUGGACAGUGACUGACGCUGAGACGCGAAAGCGUGGGGAGCAAACAGG
rnacentral:rRNA from 1 species